rnacentral:rRNA from 1 species
UACAGAGGUCUCAAGCGUUGUUCGGAUUCAUUGGGCGUAAAGGGUGCGUAGGCGGCGCGGUAAGUCGGGUGUGAAAUCUCGGAGCUUAACUCCGAAACUGCAUUCGAUACUGCCGUGCUUGAGGACUGGAGAGGAGACUGGAAUUUACGGUGUAGCGGUGAAAUGCGCAGAUAUCAGGAAGAACACCCGUGGCGAAGGCGGUUCUCUGGGCCUGACCUGACGCUGAGGAGCGAAAGCGUGGGGAGCGAACAGG